rnacentral:rRNA from 1 species
UACGAAGGGGGCUAGCGUUGUUCGGAAUUACUGGCGUAAAGCGCGCGCAGGCGGUCUUCCAAGUCAGUGGUGAAAGCCCGGAGCUCAACUCCGGAACUGCCAUUGAAACUGUUAGACUUGAGGACGAGAGAGGUGAGUGGAAUUCCCAGUGUAGAGGUGAAAUUCGUAGAUAUUGGGAAGAACACCGGUGGCGAAGGCGGCUCACUGGCUCGUAUCUGACGCUCAGGCGCGACAGCGUGGGGGAUCAAACAGG